AGGUUGGCUCAGAAGCAGCCAUCCUUUAAAGAGUGCGUAACAGCUCACUAGUCGAGUGACCCUGCGCCGAAAAUGUACCGGGGCUAAGCCUGAUACCGAAACUGCGGAUUGUAGGAAACUAUAGUGGUAGGGGAGCGUUGUAUACGAGCAGAAGCCGUACCGUGAGGAGCGGUGGAUUGUAUAGAAGUGAGAAUGCCGGUGUGAGUAGCGAGAUGUAGGUGAGAAUCCUACACACCGAAAGCCCAAGGAUUCCAGGGGAAGGUUCGUCCGCCCUGGGUAAGUCGGGACCUAACGCGAGGCCGAAAGGCGUAGUGGAUGGAAAGCAGGCGAAAGAUUCCUGCACCCGUAUAUGGAGCGAAGGAGUGACGGAGACGGAUAGUGUGACCCUCUUAAUGGAUUGAGGGCGAAGCGAAGCGGCUGGUUACCAGGCAAAUCCGGUAACCAUAAGGCUAGAGCGUGACAGGUAAGCGAAAUCUUCGGAAAGUAGCGAAGCACAUGAUGACGGCUUCCAGGAAAAGCUUCUGGCAAUGCAUAUGCGGCCCGUACCAAAACCGACACAGGUGGGCAGGGAGAGAAUCCCGAGGUGAGCGAGAGAACUGUUGCCAAGGAACUCGGCAAAAUGACUCCGUAAGUUAGCGAGAAGGAGUGCUUAAGCAAUUAAGCCGCAGUGAAGAGGCCCAAGCGACUGUUUAACUAAAACACAGCUCUCUGCGAAGUCGCAAGACGAAGUAUAGGGGGUGACACCUGCCCGGUGCUGGAAGGUUAAGAGGAUCUGUUAAGAGCGAUCUGAAGCAGUGAUCCGAAGCCCCAGUGAACGGCGGCCGUAACUAUAACGGUCCUAAGGUAGCGAAAUUCCUUGUCAGGUAAGUUCUGACCCGCACGAAAGGUGUAACGAUUUGGGCGCUGUCUCGGCAGCAGACUCGGUGAAAUCUUAGUACCUGUGAAAAUGCAGGUUACCCGCAACUAGACGGAAAGACCCCAUGGAGCUUUACUGCAGCCUGAUAUUGAAUUCUGGUCAUACAUGUACAGGAUAGGUGGGAGACAAAGAGACGUGCACGCCAGUGUACGAGGAGUCGACGUUGGGAUACCACUCUUGUGUGACCGGGGUUCUAACCUGGUAUCGAGAACAGGUACGGGGAGAGUGUCAGGUGGGCAGUUUGACUGGGGCGGUCGCCUCCCAAAGAGUAACGGAGGCGCCCAAAGGUACGCUCAGAUUGGAUGGAAACCAAUCGUCGAGUGCAAUUGCAGAAGCGUGCUUGACUGUGAGACAGACAAGUCGAACAGGGACGAAAGUCGGGAAUAGUGAUCCGGCGGUGCCGAAUGGAAGGGCCGUCGCUCAACGGAUAAAAGCUACCCUGGGGAUAACAGGCUGAUCUCCCCCAAGAGUCCACAUCGACGGGGAGGUUUGGCACCUCGAUGUCGGCUCAUCGCAUCCUGGGGCUGUAUUCGGUCCCAAGGGUUUGGCUGUUCGCCAAUUAAAGCGG
rnacentral:rRNA from 1 species